ACCCGUUGAUCCUGCGGGAGAUCGCUGCUAUCUGGGUUCGACUAAGCCAUGCAAGUCAAGGGGACUUCGGUCACCGGCACAAGGCUCAGUAACACGUCGAUAACUUGCCCUUAGAUCUAGAAUAACCUUGGAAAACUGAGGCUAAUGCUGGAUAGGAAAUACAUUCUGGAACGAGGUAUUUCUGAAAGGUAACGUCUAAGGAUAGGUCGGCGGCGGAUUAGGCUGUUGGUGAGGUAAAGGCUCACCAAACCAAAGAUCCGUAGGGGCUCUGAGAGGAGUAGCCCCGAGAAGGGCACUGAGACACUGGCCCUAGCCCUACGGGGUGCAGCAGGCGCGAAACCUUUACAAUGCACGAAAGUGUGAUAAGGGAAUCCAGAGUGCUCAUGCUUUGCAUGGGCUUUUGCCAAAUGUAAAAAGUUUGGCGAAUAAGUGGUGGGCAAGACUGGUGCCAGCCGCCGCGGUAACACCAGCGCCACAAGUGGGGAUCCUAUUUAUUUGGCCUAAAGCGUCCGUAGCUGGUUAUGUAAAUCUCUUGUGAAAUUGUUUCACUUAAUGAAACAGCGGGCAGGAGAGACUGCUUAACUCGGGACCGGGAGGAGUCAGAGGUAUGCUGUGGGGAGCGGUAAAAUGCUAUAAUCCUCAGUAGACCACCUGUGGCGAAGGCGUCUGACUAGAACGGGUUCGACAGUGAGGGACGAAAGCCAGGGGAGCAAACCGGAUUAGAUACCCGAGUAGUCCUGGCUGUAAACUCUGCGACCUAGGUGUUGCAUAUUCUUCGCGAAUGUGCAGUGUCGAAGCGAAGGCGUUAAGCUCGCCGCCUGGGAAGUACGGUCGCAAGACUGAAACUUAAAGGAAUUGGCGGGGGAGCACUACAAGGGGUGCGGCGUGCGGUUUAAUCUAACUCCACACAGAGAAUCUCACCAGGGGCGACGGCAGGAUGAAGGCCAGUCUGAAGGGCUUACCUGACGAGCCGAGAGGUAGUGCAUGGCCGCCGUCAGCUCGUGCCGUAAGGUGUCCUGUUAAGUCAGGCAACGAGCGAGACCUGUAUCCACAAUUGCUAGCGACUCAAUCUGAGAAUCGAGCACAUUGUGGGGACUGCCUUGGAAACAAGGAGGAAGGUGCAGGCAACGGUAGGUCUGUAUGCUCCGAAUCUUCUGGGCUACACGCGCGCAACAAUGGUGCAGACAAUGGGCUGCAACUCCGAAAGGAGAAGCUAAUCCUCGAAACUGCAUCCUAGUACAGAUUGAGGAUUGUAACUCAUCCUCAUGACGCUGGAAUCCCUAGUAAUCGGACGUCAUCAGCGUCCGGUGAAUAUGUCCCUGCUCCUUGCACACACCGCCCGUCAAACCACCCGAGUUGGGUCUAGAUGAGGCUCAGUUUUUAAUUGAGUCGAAUCUAAGCUUAGCGAGGAGGGUUAAGUCGUCACAAGGUA
rnacentral:rRNA from 1 species